AGUGAACGCUGGCGGUAGGCCUAACACAUGCAAGUCGAACGGCAGCACAGUAAGAGCUUGCUCUUACGGGUGGCGAGUGGCGGACGGGUGAGGAAUACAUCGGAAUCUACUUUUUCGUGGGGGAUAACGUAGGGAAACUUACGCUAAUACCGCAUACGACCUACGGGUGAAAGCAUGGGAUCUUCGGACCUUGCGCGAUUGAAUGAGCCGAUGUCGGAUUAGCUAGUUGGCGGGGUAAAGGCCCACCAAGGCAACGAUCCGUAGCUGGUCUGAGAGGAUGAUCGGCCACACUGGAACUGAGACACGGUCCAGACUCCUACGGGAGGCAGCAGUGGGGAAUAUUGGACAAUGGGCGCAAGCCUGAUCCAGCCAUACCGCGUGGGUGAAGAAGGCCUUCGGGUUGUAAAGCCCUUUUGUUGGGAAAGAAAAGCAGCAGGUUAAUACCCCGCUGUUCUGACGGUACCCAAAGAAUAAGCACCGGCUAACUUCGUG
rnacentral:rRNA from 1 species